GGGUGUGAUCAUACCAGCAGUAAUGCAUAGGUUCCCGUCAUAACCCCGUACUGAAGGGUGCUUGCGGGAUAGUAGUACUAUUAUGGGUGACCUUCUGGGAAGUCCUCGUGUUGCACCUC
rfam:Gossypium hirsutum cultivar TM-1 unplaced genomic scaffold scaffold4672.1, whole genome shotgun sequence